rnacentral:misc_RNA from 1 species
AAGUCGUAACAAGGUUUCCGUAGGUGAACCUGCGGAAGGAUCAUUAACAAUUGAUGCGCGGACGCUAGUCGUCUGCACAUUUGCCCGGGAUUGCAAAAUCCCAAGGCUACAUAUGCGCGUAUUUGUAUGACUGUUUUGAUACUUUAAAAUUUAUACAACUUUUAACAAUGGAUCUCUUGGCUCUU